rnacentral:ncRNA from 1 species
CCCGCCCGGGUCCGUGGUUGCGCCGGACCACUCGUCCCUCGCGGGGCAGUGGACCGGCAAGCCGAUGCCAGUCGCAGGCGAAACGGUCCACGUAAGGCGACUUCUUGUCGUCCGAUCACGGUGCGGCUUAGAAGUAAGUCCUGCCCCGCCGGAGGCCCAGAUGACCUCCGACCCGGGAGAAGGGGGUAGUGGCGGCUACCGCUGCGAGACCCUCAGCAGGCGGAUGGUGGGGUCGAAGACCGAGGUCGGCCGGGUGGG